GGGACUGAGAAGGAAUAUUAGAGCCUUCACCGGAGACUCAGGGAAGAAAAGCUUUUCUCAUCUGAUUGGUGAACUGGAAACGACGAAUCAGAGAUAAAGUACUGCAUCAAAUGGUCGUAUUGAAGUCAGCAAAGCCACCGCCUUUCAAAGCAUAGCUACGAGAAACGGCUAUUUCGAGUCCCUUCUCGCUUCUAUUGUUCCGGAUAAGGAAACAUGGACGCCGUAGGAGCAGGUUUGUCUAAAUCGGCGGCGGGGCUAGCCUGCNNNNNNNNNNGGGCCCACCGCCCCCACCGCCAUGGCAUUGUUGUACGUGGCAAUACUCUAUGCUCCGACUCUAAUCCUCCGCCUUCCCCAGCCUUCAUCCUUGACGGAGUUCAUGGUCCGGCGAUUCGUCUGCGCCGCCAUCUCUUCCGUCGUGUCUAUUGC
rnacentral:lncRNA from 1 species